AGAGUUUGAUCCUGGCUCAGGACGAACGCUGGCGGCGUGCUUAACACAUGCAAGUCGAACGAAAAGACGGAAAGAGCUUGCUCUUUCCGGAAUUGAGUGGCAAACGGGUGAGUAACACGUAAACAACCUGCCUUCAGGAUGGGGACAACAGACGGAAACGACUGCUAAUACCGAAUAAGUUCCAAGAGCCGCAUGGCCCAUGGAAGAAAAGGUGGCCUCUACCUGUAAGCUAUCGCCUGAAGAGGGGUUUGCGUCUGAUUAGCUGGUUGGAGGGGUAACGGCCCACCAAGGCGACGAUCAGUAGCCGGUCUGAGAGGAUGAACGGCCACACUGGAACUGAGACACGGUCCAGACUCCUACGGGAGGCAGCAGUGGGGAAUCUUCCGCAAUGGGCGAAAGCCUGACGGAGCAACGCCGCGUGAGUGAAGACGGCCUUCGGGUUGUAAAGCUCUGUUAUACGGGACGAAUAGUCUUGUGGUUAAUACCCAUGAGAAGUGACGGUACCGUAAGAGAAAGCCACGGCUAACUACGUGCCAGCAGCCGCGGUAAUACGUAGGUGGCAAGCGUUGUCCGGAAUUAUUGGGCGUAAAGCGCGCGCAGGCGGCUUCCCAAGUCCCUCUUAAAAGUGCGGGGCUUAACCCCGUGAUGGGAAGGAAACUGGGAAGCUGGAGUAUCGGAGAGGAAAGUGGAAUUCCUAGUGUAGCGGUGAAAUGCGUAGAGAUUAGGAAGAACACCGGUGGCGAAGGCGACUUUCUGGACGAAAACUGACGCUGAGGCGCGAAAGCGUGGGGAGCAAACAGGAUUAGAUACCCUGGUAGUCCACGCCGUAAACG
rnacentral:rRNA from 1 species